GCCUGAAGCUAGGGGUGCCCCCGAAGGGGGCUGAGACAGUCCCUUGGAACCUGAACCGGAUCAUACCGGCGGAGGGAAGCUUCGGAGGCGCGCA
rnacentral:ncRNA from 2 species